CUAGUAACGGCGAGUGAAGCGGCAAGAGCUCAAAUUUGAAAGCUGGCUCCUUCGGGGUCCGCUUUGUUUUUGCAGAGGAUGCUUCGGAAUCGGCCCCCAUCUAUUUGCCCUGGAACGGGCCGUCAUAGAGGGUGAGAAUCCCGUCGGGGAUGGGGUGCCCGUGCCCGUGUGAAGCUCCUUCAACCAGUCGAGUUGUUUGGGAAUGCAGCUCUGAUUGGGUGGUAAAUUUCAUCUAAAGCUAAAUAUUGGCCGGAGACCGAUAGCGCACAAGUAGAGUGAUCGAAAGAUGAAAAGCACUUUGAAAAGAGAGUUAAAAAGCACGUGAAAUUGUUGAAAGGGAAGCGCUUGCGACCAGACUCGCCCGCGGGGUUCAUCCGGCAUUCGUGCCGGUGUACUUCCCCGCGGGCGGGCCAGCGUCGGUUUGGGCGGCCGGUCAAAGGCCCCUGGAAUGUAACGCCUCUCGGGGCGUCUUAUAGCCCGGGGUGCCAUGCGGCCUGCCCGGACCGAGGAACGCGCUUCGGCUCGGACGCUGGCAUAAUGGUCGUAAGCGACCCGUCUUGAAACACGGACCAAGGAGUCUAACAUCUACGCGAGUGUUCGGGUGUCAAACCCGUGCGCGCAGUGAAAGCGAACGGAGGUGGGAACGCCUCGGGGUGCACCAUCGACCGAUCCUGAUGUCUUCGGAUGGAUUUGAGUAAGAGCGUAGCUGUUGGGACCCGAAAGAUGGUGAACUAUGCCUGAAUAGGGCGAAGCCAGAGGAAACUCUGGUGGAGGCUCGCAGCGGUUCUGACGUGCAAAUCGAUCGUCAAAUUUGGGUAUAGGGGCGAAAGACUAAU
rnacentral:rRNA from 1 species